AUUGAACGCUGGCGGCAUGCUUUACACAUGCAAGUCGAACGGUAACAGGUUAAGCUGACGAGUGGCGAACGGGUGAGUAAUGCAUCGGAACGUGCCCGGUCGUGGGGGAUAACGCAGCGAAAGCUGCGCUAAUACCGCAUACGAUCUGAGGAUGAAAGCGGGGGACCGUAAGGCCUCGCGCGAUCGGAGCGGCCGAUGUCAGAUUAGGUAGUUGGUGGGGUAAAGGCUCACCAAGCCGACGAUCUGUAGCUGGUCUGAGAGGACGACCAGCCACACUGGGACUGAGACACGGCCCAGACUACUACGGGAGGCAGCAGUGGGGAAUUUUGGACAAUGGGCGCAAGCCUGAUCCAGCAAUGCCGCGUGCAGGAAGAAGGCCUUCGGGUUGUAAACUGCUUUUGUACGGAGCGAAAAGGCUCUCUCUAAUACGGGGGGCUCAUGACGGUACCGUAAGAAUAAGCACCGGCUAACUACGUGCCAGCCGCCGCAGUAA
rnacentral:rRNA from 1 species